rnacentral:rRNA from 1 species
UACGUAGGUGGCAAGCGUUGUCCGGAUUUACUGGGCGUAAAGGGCGUGCAGGCGGUUUGUUAAGUCUAGGGUGAAAGCUCCCGGCUCAACUGGGAGAGGUCCUUGGAUACUGGCAGACUUGAGGAGGGGUAGAGGAGAGUGGAAUUCCCGGUGUAGUGGUGAUAUGCGUAGAUAUCGGGAAGAACACCAAUGGCGAAAGCAGCUUUCUGGGACGGUACUGACGCUGAGACGCGAAAGCGUGGGGAGCGAACAGG